rnacentral:tRNA from 1 species
GAGGGUAUAGUUCAGAGUGGUAGAGCGCAUGCUUAGCAUGCACGAGGUCCUGGGUUCAAUCCCCAGUAUCUCCU